rnacentral:lncRNA from 1 species
UUGAAAACAGAGGAAUACUUCUGCCAUUGUUAUGUAAUAGGAUGCUGGAAUACCUGUCAUUCUUAUGUAAUAUCGGAAAUGCAUAUUGAGUUAGUUUUUUUCAGUGAUAUAGCUCUACAUGUCACUGACUAAAUGGAACAAUAUAUCACUAUACACAAGUGCAUUCAGCCACUCAUAGGCUCUCACAUAACACAAUCAAAUACUCUGAGAACGAUGAAUGAAGCAUAAAGUACAGUAUGUUUACAUACAGGCCUUUGGUACAAUAUUGGUUUAAAUAACUAGCUGGUCAAAGUUUGCUGGUUGAAAUUCUUCUGUUGAUGGAUCUGCCUUGCGGUAAAUUACAGCACCAGUCCAAUGAACAAGAGACAUCCUGGCUCGUUUGCUGACAUCAUGAAAGCGCAUGAGGAAAUCAUCAUUUCCAAUCAAGUAAAUCAACGGAUUGAUUGCGCUAUUCAGGCAAGCUAGGCCGCGGCUGAUUUGAUGAACAACAUAGAUGUCAUCGAAGCUUGCUUUGCAGGUGCCUUCCAUUUUCAAAAUCCUUAUCUUCAAAUUGAGAUUUCGCAAAACAUGGUAAGGGAUAAAGCAAAUUGAGAAUAACACAGUCAAGAUGAUGACUAGUUUUAGACACCUCUGUUUCAAUAAAGUAUUGACGUUGGCUUUGGUGGCAAGGACCACUACUAUAUGUCCAUAGCAAGCAACAAUGACGAGCAAUGGUAUAACGAAUCCGGUAACGGUCCAGCCAAUGCUAUACGGCAGGUAAUCCUUGAUAAGGUGGUCGGCUGUUGAGUCAUAGCACGCAUCUGAGGAAUUUGGCGCUGUCUUGUCAAAGAACAUAUCGGGAAGUAUCUGAAUAAAAACCAAAAUCCAGACAAGAAAACUUAUUGCCACAGAGUGGCGAGUGGUGAUUCUUCCCAUCACGUGCAUUGGGUGCACAAUACCAAGAAGUUUGCAAAAGUUCCGACGACAAACACCAGCACGAACACAGCUGGUAAAAAUCUAGUGAAGUCAAGACACAAGCUAUUUUUCGAAUUGCAGAAGAAUAUCAAUCGAUGACGCCCAGAAGUUAAUGAAAUCAAACUUGGACAUGGACACACUUCUGAAAUCGUAGCCGUCCACAAACAUGCUGCGCAUGACUACCUAAUGUGAAACUAAAAGUGUAUACACUUUUUUUUAUUUUUAUAUAAGGAUUAUUCCAUUAGUUUACAGGAGGUAAUGUGAUACUGUAUCGAAAGAUAAAUUAGCAGAGUUAUAGUAUCCUGCAAUUAUUACUGCAAGUUAAGAUAUGAGUAACAACCCACUGGGCACACACUGGUUGAGUCAACAUUGUUUCAAUGGUCAACCUAUUGUGACGUGAAAUAUAAGUGGAAAGCACAUUUGGAUUUGAAAAAAGUCAUCACCAGUAGAUUACUGUUUUCAUCUCAUUUCAACCAGCAUUGUAAACAUUGCAAUUAGGGAAAAACUUAAACUUAAGUACAAUGACUUAACCUGACUAACAGGUUGUUACAUUAACAUAAUCAUCAGAACUAUCUAUACAUUGGAAUUGAGUCAGAAAUUCCAUGUAGAAAUGUAACAAAUAUUUUUCAUCCUUUGUACUGAGUGUACAAAACAUUAAGAAUGACAUAUACUGACCAGGUGAAAGCUAUGAGCACUUAUUGAUGUCAUGUGUUAUAUCCACUUCAAUCAGUGUAGAUGAAGGGGUGGAGACACUUUAAAGAAGGAUUUUUAAGCCUUGAGACAAUUGAGACAUGGAUUGUGUAUGUAUGCCAUUUAGAGGGUGAAUGGGAAAGACAAGAUUUAAGUGCCUUUGGAAGGGGUAUGGUAGUAGAUGCCAGGCACACCGGUUUGUGUCAAGAACUGCAACGCUGCUGGAUUUUUCUCACUCCACAGUUUCCUGUUUGUAUCAAGAAUGGUCCACCACCCAAAGGACAUCCAGCCAACAUGACACAAUUGUGGGAAGCAUUGGAGUCAACAUGGGCCAGCAUCCCUGUUGAACGCUUUCGAUACCUUGUAGAGUUUAUGCUCCGACAAAUUGAGGGCAAAAGGAGGGGGUGCAACUCAAUAUUAGGAAGGUGUUCUGAAUGUUUUAAACACUCAGUUAUUGGGGUGGUUCAAAUUUUGUGGAAUUUCAUAUUUGUAUAGACAUUUCAUUUGACCUUGUUUCAAUGUUGAUAGUAAAAUUGUAUUUUUUAAUCAAUGUCAUUGUUUCAAUGUCAUGCCAUCAACCUAAAUAAAGAGGUAUAUUGAAUUAAAAUAUGGAACCACAGUCCAACAACUCUUGCCUGAACAGUGACUCCUACUGAUAAUGAUGUGGAAUAAUGCACUUCAGUAAGAACAAGCCUACCAUGCAGAGAUCUUCCUCUAUGAAACCUGCUUAGCUUUGGC